ACCGCGUCUUCGCGAGCAUGUCUGAUAAAGCAAUUUACCAAUCUAUGUUUUUCACGCUAUAAUUAGUCGCCGUGAACCAGUUAAUCUCCGGUUGUUCGCGAAAUAAAGUCGUUCCGAAUAAAUUGUUUACAGUACUUAGUAAUUACUGUAUACAGGGAAAUAUUCGCCCCCGUUUUAUUUUCGUCUCUUUCGCCAUUGUUGUCAGUGGGCGAAUUUAAGUUUGGGCGAAUUCCAAUGUCCCAAACUAUCUUUCUUUAUACACAACUGUGUCUAGGCGAAUUCAAUAUAGGGCGAAACUGUUUGCAAGUGUUAAAGGGCGACAAUAACCCUGUAUUCAGUAUAACAUUUUUACAACUUUUUUUUCAUUUCAUUUAUAUAUAGUCCAUAGAGGCGCUGGGUGUGAUUCCAAAGAAUAGUGUUAACGGAGUACAAGAGAUAUCAUCGUAAGGCUGAAAAGACGUGACAAAACGUCAAAAAAUUAAAUUAAUUUACUUUCAUACGAUUUGUUGGCAAUCUUAUUUAAUAUGCUGACAAGAAAACGAUCUCCUUAUACCGUAUUUUCUCUUUGAAAAUUCAAUAUUAUUACCCAUUAGAUGCCUUUAGAAAAUCUAGUUACUUCUAAUAGAAGUCGUUUGUUGUUUUGCUGUACCUAGGUCCCAGUUUGACCGUGACAAUGUGUUUGAGAUCCACACGUGCUGUAGAACAUACUACCUCCAGUGUGAGAAUCACGACGACCUGUGUGAGUGGGUGUCCGCCAUCAGACGAUUACUGCCUCAUCCCAAAAUUCAAUUGAACGUUGGUGAACUAUGUACCUAUAGUGCAGUGCAUUGGUGCAACAUCCGGGACAUUGUCGGCAAAAAAGCGCAUGCGUGUGAAAUUGCUACCUCAGUUUUUGUGUUUCGGUCAGCUCUUGUUAUCAUAAGCAGAUACAAACAGAAUACAAAAGAAGACCGGGACGGGGCCACAGGAUCGACCGGAAGUUCCGGGCCUCAGGUGGCGGACCUGUUCCGGUCCAUCAUUCCUGCUGACGAUAUCCUAGUCACUGAGGAGACCGACGAUAUGCAGGACAGGUAUACGUGGAGCGUCACUCAGUCUUACCUGGACGACCUACCCCCCAGAACCUACAAGUUCUGUACCAGCUCCAAAGAGAUUCGAUCGAGGUUUGUGACUGCCAUCCAAGAUAUUAAUCAGCGUAGGACGUGAUUCAUCGGUGAAUGACGAUUUGCCGAGCCUCUAUAAAUCUAUGGAAUCGCCUUUAUAUCCGAGCCAAAUAUGACAUUGUAUGUUUCAAGAGAACAAAUAUAUCGAAAGUGGCUGAAGUGGAGGUCACGUGUGAUUGGGUGAUUUACUGUGGCAGACUUUUGAUGGGGGUCGACUUAUUCAUAAUAUUUUGGUCAGAAAAACAACAGUUUAUCUGAAAUCACACUUUUAAAAUAUAUUAGCAGAAGAGUAGUUCAACAAAGUUUUGGUAAAUGAACUCCAUGCGCUAGAGGGGUUAAGGGGGUCCGGAACCCCACCCUCUGGACAAUUCAAAUUCAUUAGAUUCUCAUAUUAAAAUUACUUACAACACUCUUUUACAAUAAGAAAUCCAUACCCAUGCACCUUUUAAUAAUGAUUGAGAGAGAACGUCUGGUGUACAUGUGACGCUGAUCGUCUUUCCAUUUUGCAUCGAUAAGUUUUUUGUGUGUGUUUUUUUUUUGUUAACGUUUUUGUUAUCACUGUUAUUCUAUUUUAUUUUAAUACUCCUUUUACUCAUUUUUGUAUCAUUUUUGCAAUUUUUAAAUGAUGUUUUGUUUGAAUAAAACUGGAAAACGAAUUUAGAAACUGAAAAAAAUAAAAAGAUACUAUAUAUGCCUAU
rnacentral:misc_RNA from 1 species